GGUCCAAUAAGUACAAAUCUAGAAAUAGGAAACUACAAUACUACUUACAUUUUCACUCUAGAACCUUCACUUCUCAUCUUCUUUCCAAAGUUUCCUAACUAGUUUUCUCCGUUCAAUUUUUUCAAUUUCAAAUUUAGAACGUGCAUGUUCUAGAAGAAAUUGAAAGAAUGCCUAUACCUGAUAUCUUUUUGCAAUAUGAUAGAAUAUCCUACACUUCUUGAAGCAGACAGGACCUAGAGCUCUUGAAUAUCAAAUGAAAUUCAGAAAUGGAAAGAAAUUAGAAUAGAAGAUGUCACCUAACGCUGCUGAAGUUGUACCGACGUAAUUUUGAGAAGCACGCGAACUCUUAGGUAAGCUCGGUGAUCUAAGCCAAAUACAGAUCUUUGCCCAAAAAUAAAAGUGAAGAGGUUGAGCGGAGAGACAUUUACCUUACACUUAUAUUGGUCGUAUUCAUAUCUCAUUCAAGACUGAUGUCCACGACCUACUUCAUUGAUGCAGAUAUGGUCUCGUAAAAGUGUUAAAGAUUCAGGGUCACGCCUUUAUACCAAGACUGAGACUUUUCUAUAAGUUGCACAGCCUCGCAAUUCCCAAGCAGUAAAGUUAUAAGACCAGUUCCAUCCAUCACACGAACUUGGAGCCUAUACCUGAAAUACACUCUUUUAUCUCGUUAAAAUAUUAUAUUUUGUUAGAGAAAUAAAUUAAUAUAGGAUUGUAAUAACUUGUGAACAACUUUUGUUUCUGCAUUACAUUUUGUGCAAAAAUAUGAGUUAUCAUCAGGUUCAACCUUUAUAAGACACCUGUUAAUUUUUUUUUGGAAGAAGUAUAAAUCAAUGUACAGAAAGUUAAGAUAUAUUUAGAAGAGUUGUAAAUGAAACACAGUUUUUUAAGUAGUGGGAGUAUUGAGGGAACUUGUAGUGAUUUGGUUCUGUUUGUGUGUGACAGUUACUGAGAUUUGAAUUUGUAAAGAUAUAUUUUGUUUUAAUG